rnacentral:misc_RNA from 1 species
UCUGAUCAUCGACAUUUGGUCAUCGAAGCGAAUGUGUGGAUACAUCGGCUUCACUAUUGAAGGGGUCACUCCAGAUUUUGAAAUCUUCACGGCCUUCUUGUGCAUCCGACAGAUCUUCGGCAGACACACUGCAGAGGCAAUCCUGUCCGAAUUUGAAGAUAUUCUGAGGGAAUGGAAUUUGAAAAUAUCAGUGGUUAUUCGAGUUGUUACGAACAGCGGAUCAAAUAUGAUCAAAGCGUUCGACCUAAAGCUUCCGGGCUAUGUUGAAAAGGAAAACGAGUCUGAGAACGAAGAGCCUGAUCCAAGUCCUGAAGCUGCAACUAACCAGAAUGAGGCAGCUAGCAAUUUGGAGAUGGUCGAUUUGGAAUUGACUGGCCCUGUUUACGAUUCCUUGAUGGAGAUGAUCGAUGCCAACUGUUCCCGUCAAGAAGUAAAUGUAUUGAUGGAAGCUGAUCAAGAGGAAGAUGACGAGCACCAAGAAGUUGAAUAAGGCCUCAACGAAACUUACCUUGGCAUCCUACGCACGACUUUAUCCGGUGUGGCUUCAGAUUUGAGUCAUUUGGCGACUGGUGUAAGUGAUCUAGCCACGUACGAGAUGAGCUCCAAAUUACGCGAGUCUUGUAAGGCUCACGAUCUUCAGAAUGUCAUCAAAGAUGGGCUGAAUCAAAUCGAGGCACAGGCGGGAGCUGUGAUCAAAAGGGUCAGCAAGAUCAUCAAUUCAGUCAGGAUGAGUGUGAACGACACUGAGGCCGUCUUCAAGGCCGUUGGUUUUCGGCUUGUGGCCAAGAACGCUACGCGUUGGAAUUCACAGCUGGCAUCGUUACGCUCAAUAAUAAAGGCCAUUGAUUACGAUCCUCAGCUUCAAACUGGCUUGAACGCGACCACCAAAAAGCAUUCUAAGCUCACCCCACUUGAACUCAAACUGUUAAAGGAGGUCAGCCUCAUUUAGACUCCUUUUCAAGAAGCAACUGAUGACUUCCAAGGAGAUUAUGAAACCAUCGGCUCCGUCAUUCCUGCUUACAUUGACCUGCUCAACAAAAUGACCCUGAGUUUCGUUGAUUCCAGAGGCGCAACCGUUGUGAACUCUGAAUGUCCACUUGCAGGACAAAUCAUUCAUUGCAAGGGUUUUGCAGAAGCACUUAAGACUUCUUUGAAGAAAAGAAUGUCUUCCGUGUUACACAAUACGAGCUGCGUGCUGGGUGCGAUUUUGGACCCGCGAUUCAAGACGGAAUGGAUUUCAUACACUCAUCUAAAUGAAGGCGAUGUGCUUUCUUGCGUCCUGGCGGAGCUCGUUUACCGGUAUCGCAAAAUCCAGGAUGAUACUCAAGACAUUCGAGAUGCAGAUCUGACAGCAGCUACAACAGAUUUACGAAGUUCAAACGGUGAAGACGUCAGCGGUGAGGGGAAUCAACCAACGGCCAAGAGAGCUCGUCCCACUCGUCAACUUUACAGUUCUUUCAAAAGGGCAAGUCGACCUGCCUCAGCUGGAUCCGCCAAGGUACUUGACGAGUUUGAAACCUACCUGAGUUAUUCGAUUGCGCCAAUGGAGUCAGAAGAAGUACCUGGAAAGUCGAACCCGGGGCCAUUUCGGCCAUUAAAAUAUUGGCUUAACAACCGUCAUCGAUUUCCUUAUCUCUCCUUGAUUGCCCGCGACAUCCUCGGAACUCCCGCAUCAUCUGGAAGCGUGGAAAGGUGCUACAGCACUGAAUUGGAUAUCAUUGGCAUCAAAAGAGGUAAUCUUAAAUCCGAUAUAUUCAAUCAACUGCUGUUUAUAAAACGAAAUCGCAAUCUUGUGUAAUCACACGUCAUUUGAACAGAAACACACAUAAAACAUAUUGCAUAUAAUAAUUUAUACAACUCAGUCAUUCUUGUCUAUAUGUUAUUCUACUGAUCUGUUCUCCCAAUACAAGUGUUUACAAAUCAAA